CCGCCACUGGCUCACCCGGACAGAUUUCUAAGCUGUAGGUACGAGGUUCGACUCCCCGGUGGCGGACCA
rnacentral:tRNA from 42 species